rnacentral:lncRNA from 1 species
GACUUUUCAUCAUUCAAAAAGCUGUCAUCGUUUAUGCCAGAUAUCUGUGAUUUUUUAAAUCAUAUUUUGGAAGCGCUUUGGUCAUAGUGGCAGAUUCAAGGGCUGUUUAUCACACCGUUCUUGUACGACAAAUGCAAUUAAAAGUGAGUCGAAAAUGCAAUAAGUCAAGCAAAGUUUUGCACGACACUCGACACUUGGCGCACGACGACAAAAUAUGUACCCAAAGCACACCAGACACACUUUGAAGUCUUGCAAGAAGCAAAAGGUGAUUAUGAGUAGCGAAGCAGCGGAAGCAGGUUCGGAGCAGAAGCUGACUAAUUUGGCAAAAAACUACUUCAUUAACGGUACAACUGACUAUAACGGCAUGAAGUGUUUUAAGUUGAUUUAUGUGACUAUGCGUAUGUAUGGGUGCACCAGAACGGUAAUGAGUGCAGCGAGGAAGUGUUUAUGGCUGCCGGGAGAGGAAGUUUUUUCUGCCCAAAGCUGACACAUCGAAUAGAUGUAGCAAUGCCGGUCAAAAGAUUUAGCAGACCAAAAUGAAUAUAUGUAUGUAUAUAGUAGUAUGUAUAUGCACAUACUUAUGUACAUAUACUAUAUGCGCGCAUAUGGAUGAGCAAAAACGCAAUUCCAUUUUUUAUGAACGAACAUUGAGCACGCAGUUGGAAGUACUAAACGCCCAAAAAGAACAAAUUUAUUAAAUUAUUUACUAGUUUUUUAAUAACUUAAAUUUUUAUUCAAAAAGUUUUGUUUAAUACUUGUAAAUUUAAAAUUUAAAUUUAAAGUCAAAAUACGCCUGAAAGUACGCAGCACUACUCCCACCCACAAUGUAAGUCAUAUUCGUUCACCGGAGUCACCCUGCACAAAAAACUUUGGCUGCGGCACUCAAAUUUGCCAAAAUGCACCAGGCACCCAGAACAGCCCAGCAGGUGGAUUCUGCCUGCUGCUGUUAACGCGCAGCCUGUAAUGUUAACUGACAGCGUAAUGUACUGGUAAGGUGCAGGCUGUUAUGUUAGCGGCCAGUGGAAUGUUAUUAGCGGACAGUAUCAGUGUUACUGCAAUGCAUCUAAUUUAAGCAAAUAUGCGCAUAUUUUAAUUUUAAAUGCAAUUAAUUGUUUUUAAAAAUAUAUUUUCAGCAUUAUAUUUAUUUUUACGUUUUUUGUUUUUUUUAUUCUAGUGAAAGUAAAGAAGCAUUAAGAGGCCAAUGUAACCGAACAAAUGUAUUACGACAAAAUAUCAAAUGAGAUUGCAUAUGUACUAUAUAUAUUAUAUAUUUACACAGUAGUAAUAAGCCAAAGCUGUAAUUUAUUUGAAAGCACAUACAAACAAAUAUAUUGACACAAAUAUCAAAAAAA